UACGUAGGGUGCAAGCGUUAAUCGGAAUUACUGGGCGUAAAGCGUGCGCAGGCGGUUUUGUAAGUCAGAUGUGAAAUCCCCGGGCUUAACCUGGGAAUGGCAUUUGGGACUGCAAGGCUUGAGUUUGGCAGAGGAGACUGGAAUUCCUGGUGUAGCAGUGAAAUGCGUAGAUAUCAGGAGGAAUACCGAUGGCGAAGGCAGGUCUCUGGGCUAGAACUGACGCUCAUGCACGAAAGCGUGGGGAGCAAACAGG
rnacentral:rRNA from 1 species